GGAACAGAGGGUGGCAAACGUUUGUUCGGAAUUACUGGGCGUAAAGCGUGUGUAGGCGGCUAGGUAAGUCGGAUGUGAAAGCCCCGGGCUCAACUCGGGAAGUGCACUCGAUACUGCUUAGCUCGAGUACCGGAGAGGUUGGUGGAAUUCUCGGUGUAGAGGUGAAAUUCGUAGAUAUCGAGAGGAACACCGGUGGCGAAGGCGGCCAACUGGACGAGUACUGACGCUGAGACACGAAAGCGUGGGGAGCAAACAGG
rnacentral:rRNA from 1 species